AUUGAACGCUGGCGGCAUGCUUUACACAUGCAAGUCGAACGGCAGCGCGGGCUUCGGCCUGGCGGCGAGUGGCGAACGGGUGAGUAAUACAUCGGAACGUGCCCAGUAGUGGGGGAUAGCUCGGCGAAAGCCGGAUUAAUACCGCAUACGACCUGAGGGUGAAAGCGGGGGAUCUUCGGACCUCGCGCUAUUGGAGCGGCCGAUGGCAGAUUAGCUAGUUGGUGGGGUAAAGGCCUACCAAGGCGACGAUCUGUAGCUGGUCUAAGAGGACGACCAGCCACACUGGGACUGAGACACGGCCCAGACUCCUACGGGAGGCAGCAGUGGGGAAUUUUGGACAAUGGGCGAAAGCCUGAUCCAGCAAUGCCGCGUGUGUGAUGAAGGCCUUCGGGUUGUAAAGCACUUUUGGCGGGAACGAAAAGGACUGUGCCAAUACCACGGUUCGAUGACGGUACCCGCAGAAUAAGCACCGGCUAACUACGUG
rnacentral:rRNA from 1 species